rnacentral:tRNA from 2 species
CCUUGGUUACCUCAGUUGGUAGAGCGCUCCACUGGAAAUGGAGAGGUCCCGGGUUCGAUACCCGGACCAGGCG